rnacentral:rRNA from 1 species
UGGCCAGACUCCUACGGGAGGCAGCAGUAGGGAAUUUUCGGCAAUGGGGGGAACCCUGACCGAGCAACGCCGCGUGAACGAAGAAGUUAUUCGUAAUGUAAAGUUCUUUUAUCAGGGAAGAAAGAGGAAUUUGACGGUACCUGAGGAAUAAGCUCCGGCUAACUACGUGCCAGCAGCCGCGGUAAUACGUAGGGGGCAAGCGUUAUCCGGAUUCACUGGGUGUAAAGGGAGCGUAGACGGCGACGCAAGUCUGGAGUGAAAGCCCGGGGCCCAACCCCGGGACUGCUCUGGAAACUGCGUCGCUGGAGUACGGGAGGGGCAGGCGGAAUUCCUGGUGUAGCGGUGAAAUGCGUAGAUAUCAGGAGGAACACCGGCGGCGAAGGCGGCCUGCUGGACCGUGACUGACGUUGAGGCUCGAGAGCGUGGGGAGCAAACAGGAUUAGAUACCCGCGUAA